ACUAUGGAGAGUUUGAUCCUGGCUCAGGAUGAACGCUAGCGGCAGGCCUAAUACAUGCAAGUCGAACGGGAUCCAUCUGUAGCUUGCUAUAGAUGGUGAGAGUGGCGCACGGGUGCGUAACGCGUGAGCAACCUGCCCAUAUCAGGGGGAUAGCCCGAAGAAAUUCGGAUUAACACCGCAUGAGAUUGCAGUUCCGCAUGGU
rnacentral:ncRNA from 1 species